UUAAUUUAGCAAUCUUUCACGAGCUAUUUUUUUUCGAACCCUGAAGUAUUAUUACAGUCCCGAUAUAUUAUUUAUGUUCCUAAUAGCCACCCUAUAUCAUGAUUAUUUUUAGCAUACAUGUAUUUAUGCAGACUAAUAAAAUCCUCCCAUAUCUCAUCCUCAAUCCACUACUCAUCAAUGGUGCUACACUACUCACCAAUUCAUUACUUCCACCACCAACGUUAACAUCACUACCCACUCACACUUUCCACUCUCCCCACUCACACUUCACACCAUACUUUGCCCCCCACCAAAAUAAACUUUAGCCAUAAUACUCAUUCCCUUCCACUCACCAUUUCUCCUACAUACCAAGGAACAAGUGCAGAGAACUCCAUUCACAGAAGCUUAGUAAACAACAACAAAUACAACAACAAACACCAGCCGAAACCUCAUCAAAAGGCUUUGUGGAUCGUGAGGACUAGCACUGCUAUACCAAUUCAGAGUUAAGAAUAAACGACAGGCUUUGCCUAUUCAGGUGGGCUUAUUUUCCAAAUGUAUGAUUUAGCUAUUGAGCUUAAAUAUUUCAAUGAAAUGAAAACUGUUUAUCCAAUAAAUAUUUUUGUGCACUCUGCUCUGUUUAAGGCUCGCAUAAGUUAAUCGAUCGAGGUUCUCUUAUGACCUAACACGUUGUUUGAGAAUUGUGUACACCUAUUAGCUGACUCGGUGGGUUGAUCUCCAUCGGGCACUAAUCAUGUAUGAGGCGUUAUAAGGGUGCUCGACGGGAUGUGUUCCGGAGCAUUGGGUCCCAAAUGGGAGCUUGGCUGGGUUACGCCCUCAGUCCAAGUAAAGCAGGAGUAAUGGAUCCGUCGGUGGCUAAAAGGUCCGGGAUCACAGCGAGUAACGGAAAGGGAGUGUGACAAUUGCGCGCAAUAUAAUAAAAUGUUUUAACAUGCUUAGAAGUUAUUUUUGUUUUAAAACCUUCUAAGUCAUGUAAAGUAUAAUUGGAUAAACUGCUCUUAUGAUUAUGAAAUAUUUAUAAAAAUGCUAGCCCACUAAGUACAUUAGUACUUAGCCCAAAAUUUCUUUCAAAUGUUUUCAGGUUGAUUGGUCGGUGCUGACGGGGCAGAGCUGAGGCUAGGGUUCAACUCCGUAUUUUGUCUUCCGCUGUUGCACUAGCUCUUAUUUGUCUUUUAUUUCUCCAACUUAAGACUUUUAUGUUAAAUUCUGAAUUAUGUUUUCUUAUCGAGCUUAAACUCUCAAC